CGAACGAUGAAGGGAGCUUGCUCCUGGAUUAGUGGCGAACGGGUGAGUAACACGUGAGUAACCUGCCCUUGACUCUGGGAUAAGCCUGGGAAACUGGGUCUAAUACCGGAUAUGACUGAUCAUCGCAUGGUGGUUGGUGGAAAGCUUUUUGUGGUUUUGGAUGGACUCGCGGCCUAUCAGCUUGUUGGUGAGGUAAUGGCUUACCAAGGCGACGACGGGUAGCCGGCCUGAGAGGGUGACCGGCCACACUGGGACUGAGACACGGCCCAGACUCCUACGGGAGGCAGCAGUGGGGAAUAUUGCACAAUGGGCGCAAGCCUGAUGCAGCGACGCCGCGUGAGGGAUGACGGCCUUCGGGUUGUAAACCUCUUUCAGUAGGGAAGAAGCCUUUCGGGGUGACGGUACCUGCAGAAGAAGCGCCGGCUAACUACGUGCCAGCAGCCGCGGUAAUACGUAGGGCGCAAGCGUUAUCCGGAAUUAUUGGGCGUAAAGAGCUCGUAGGCGGUUUGUCGCGUCUGCCGUGAAAGUCCGGGGCUCAACUCCGGAUCUGCGGUGGGUA
rnacentral:rRNA from 1 species